rnacentral:piRNA from 1 species
UGAAAUUUCGUUUCUGUGAGGGG